rnacentral:rRNA from 1 species
GACGAACGCUGGCGGCGUGCCUAAUACAUGCAAGUUGAGCGAUGAAGCUUGGUGCUUGCACCAAUUUGAAGAGCAGCGCACGGGUGAGUAACGCGUGGGGAAUCUGCCUUUGAGCGGGGGACAACAUUUGGAAACGAAUGCUAAUACCGCAUAACAACUUUAAACAUAAGUUUUAAGUUUGAAAGAUGCAAUUGCAUCACUCAAAGAUGAUCCCGCGUUGUAUUAGCUAGUUGGUGAGGUAAAGGCUCACCAAGGCGAUGAUACAUAGCCGACCUGAGAGGGUGAUCGGCCCCAUUGGGAAUGGGACACGGCCCAAGCCCCUACGGGAGGCAGCAGUAGGGAAUCUUCGGCAAUGGACGAAAGUCUGACCGAGCAACGCCGCGGGAGGGAAGAAGGGUUUCGGAUCGUAAAACUCUGUUGGUAGAGAAGAACGUUGGUGAGAGUGGAAAGCUCAUCAAGUGACGGUAACUACCCAGAAAGCGACGGCUAACUACGUG